rnacentral:tRNA from 1 species
UAUAAUAUAGUUCAAUGGUAGAGUAUUUGCCUAUCAUGCAUAUUUGCUGGGUUUGAUUCCCAGCACCAAAA